AUUGAACGCUGGCGGCAUGCCUUACACAUGCAAGUCGAACGGCAGCGCGGACUUCGGUCUGGCGGCGAGUGGCGAACGGGUGAGUAAUACAUCGGAACGUACCCUGUUGUGGGGGAUAACUAGUCGAAAGAUUAGCUAAUACCGCAUACGACCUGAGGGUGAAAGUGGGGGACCGGAAACGGCCUCAUGCAGCAGGAGCGGCCGAUGUCUGAUUAGCUAGUUGGUAGGGUAAAGGCCCACCAAGGCGACGAUCAGUAGCUGGUCUGAGAGGACGAUCAGCCACACUGGGACUGAGACACGGCCCAGACUCCUACGGGAGGCAGCAGUGGGGAAUUUUGGACAAUGGGGGCAACCCUGAUCCAGCAAUGCCGCGUGUGUGAAGAAGGCCUUCGGGUUGUAAAGCACUUUUGUCCGGAAAGAAAUCGCGCUGGUUAAUACCUGGCGUGGAUGACGGUACCGGAAGAAUAAGCACCGGCUAACUACGUG
rnacentral:rRNA from 1 species